AUUGAACGCUGGCGGCAGGCCUAACACAUGCAAGUCGAGCGGAUGACGGGAGCUUGCUCCUUGAUUCAGCGGCGGACGGGUGAGUAAUGCCUAGGAAUCUGCCUGGUAGUGGGGGACAACGUUUCGAAAGGAACGCUAAUACCGCAUACGUCCUACGGGAGAAAGCAGGGGACCUUCGGGCCUUGCGCUAUCAGAUGAGCCUAGGUCGGAUUAGCUAGUUGGUGGGGUAAUGGCUCACCAAGGCGACGAUCCGUAACUGGUCUGAAAGGAUGAUCAGUCACACUGGAACUGAGACAGGGUCCAGACUCGUACGGGAGGCAGCAGUGGGGAAUAUUGGACAAUGGGCGAAAGCCUGAUCCAGCCAUGCCGCGUGUGUGAAGAAGGUCUUCGGAUUGUAAAGCACUUUAAGUUGGGAGGAAGGGCAGUAAGCUAAUAUCUUGCUGUUUUGACGUUACCGACAGAAUAAGCACCGGCUAACUCUGUGCCAGCCGCCGCCGUAA
rnacentral:rRNA from 1 species